GGAGGUUACUGCUAUCGGUGUUCGCCUAACCCAUGCGAGUCAUAUGUUCUUCGUGAACAUGGCGUACUGCUCAGUAACACGUGAAUAACCUGCCCUUGGGACCGGCAUAACCCCGGGAAACUGGGGAUAAUUCCGGAUACCGCAUAUAUGCUGGAAUGCUUUAUGCGUGAAAUGGAUUCGUCUGCCCAAGGAUGGGUCUGCGGCCUAUCAGGUAGUAGCGGGUGUAAUGUACCUACUACCCUACAACGGGUACGGGUUGUGAAAGCAAAAGCCCGGAAAUGGAUUCUGAAACAUGAAUCCAGGCCCUACGGGGCGCAGCAGGCGCAAAAACUUUACAAUGCGGGAAACCGUGAUAAGGGGACACCGAGUGCCAGCAACAUUUGUUGGCUGUCCAGGUGUGUAAACUACACCUGUUAGCAAGGGCCGGGCAAAACCGGUGC
rnacentral:rRNA from 1 species